UUUUGGUUUUGUAACUGGAAUGAGUUAAGUAUAAACCCCUUUACAAGUAUCAAUUGGAGGGCAAGUCUGGUGCCAGCAGCCGCGGUAAUUCCAGCUCCAAUAGCGUAUAUUAAAGUUGUUGCAGUUAAAAAGCUCGUAGUUGGAUUUCUGUUAAUAAUUUAUAUAAUAUAUUUUGAUAGAUAUUUAUAUAAUAUUAACGUAAUUCAUAUUACUAUUUUUUUUUAGUAUAUGAAAUUUUACUU
rnacentral:rRNA from 1 species